ACUUUCUAGCCGGACAAACAGCAGUCCAGGGCCAGGCACACAGCAGUCCAGGACCGGGCACAGCACUCACCCACGUCUUGCUCGAAGGGGUUGGCGGUGAACAAAGGCAUCUCGCCGGCGCCCGAGCCCUAGUCGCUGCUGUCUAGCUGACACUCAGCAACUGCUACCCGCCGGGUGACCCGCGGCCGCGGCUCCCUAGACCGCUCCGCUUCGGCCUCCGUCCCUGCACUUCCGCCACCGCACCUGCCCGGCUCUUGCCUGACAGGCCGGCUCGGAGUCCACCCUUCGAUCCCGCGCUCCUGUCCCAACUUUUCUCCCGGGGCGAGAUCCCUCCGACCAUGGGCGUCCUCCCAAGGCCUUUGUCGCUGCCCCUGUCCCAGACUUUUGUAGGGGUCAGGCGGCCGCUACGGCCACCUUUCCAGCGCUAGGACCCCGGCUAGCCACGAAGCCGGGGACCUUCGGAGCCGGAAGUAGUCCCGCCUGGAACUGGACGACCCCGGAAGCUGCAGUGCCAGCGGCGGCGCGGCAGGGGGCGCGGUUACCCGUGGUUUUUCGCGUUGGACGACGGGCUCUGAGGGCCAAGUUCUUGUCACGAAUUUAGUUUGUUUCAGAGCGGCAGGACUCGUAGCUAGAGAACGAGGACCCACGACGCGUACGCGUUACAGUCCUGUUUCCCUAGAAACGGAGCUGCCGGCGCGGAGGUGGCUUUGAGAUUCUGCGAAAGACCUGACUGCUCUUCAACAAUUAUUGUGUUGCACCCUCCCAGGCGCCCAGUCCAAACCCCGUCAGAAUAACCACCCGGGACAGCGGUGGUCGAAGUAACUACGCCUAACUUUUCGCUUUCCAUCGUGUCCCCUCCAUAAAAACACUGCUGGGCCCCCGGAAUCCAAAGGCGAAGGAGGCACACUCCCUGCCUUAGACUUGUUGAGAGUUUUAUAGGGGCAGUGCAUAACGUACAUGAUGGUGUAUGACGAUUCGGAUGGUAGUACGAGUCAUAAACUCAAAUUCCAACAGCAUCCAGCCAGGACUUUUAAAAUUCCUUGCAACGCAAGUCUACUGGUGACAAAUUCCCUCAAAUUUUGUUUGCCUGAGAAAGUCUUUCGCCCUCACUGUUGAAGGAUAAUUUCACUGGAUACAGAAUUCUAGGACACAAUGAGAAGUCAGCAGUUUGCAACCAAAAGAGUGUCCUCUCUAGAAUCUGACCAGGCUGACACAGCAAUCUACAACUUCCAGCCUCCAGAACUGUGAGAAAUAAAUUGCUGUUAUUUAUAAGACACCCAGUCUGUGGUACUUUGUUAUAGCAGCCUAACAUGACUAAAACACACUGAAUAACCCAAUGUUUGAGUGAUUACCUGUCCUUUACUUCUCUUAUCCAUUCCUCUUGCCUUCCAAUUCCUGCUACCAUUGUCUAGAAGUUGGCUGAAAGGAACAAAGAGCACCUGAUCAGUUAUCUAAUAACAUUUAUUACUUUUUUAUUUCCUACAUUGUGUUACUUUAUCUCUCUCACUCCUGCAUGAUGAAUAAAAUCAUUUUUUUCAGAGGCAUUACGCUUUUCACACUUUAUUUAGUAAAUAUUGGGCACCUACCAUGUCCAAAAUACUAGCAG